AACGAACGCUGGCGGCAGGCCUAACACAUGCAAGCUGAACGGACCCUUCGGGGUUAGUGGCGGACGGGUGAGUAACACGUGGGAACGUGCCUUUAGGUUCGGAAUAGCUCCUGGAAACGGGUGGUAAUGCCGAAUGUGCCCUUCGGGGGAAAGAUUUAUCGCCUUUAGAGCGGCCCGCGUCUGAUUAGCUAGUUGGUGAGGUAAUGGCUCACCAAGGCGAGGAUCAGUAGCUGGUCUGAGAGGAUGACCAGCACAAUUGGGACUGAGACCCGGCCAAAACCCCUACGGGAGGCAGCAGUGGGGAAUCUUGCGCAAUGGGCGAAAGCCGGACGCAACCAGGCCGCGUGGAUGAUGAAGGUCUUAGGAUUGUAAAACCCUUUCACCGGUGAAGAUAAUGACUGUAGCCGGAAAAGAAGCCCCGGCUAACUUCGUGCCAGCCGCCGCGGUAAUAC
rnacentral:rRNA from 1 species